rnacentral:rRNA from 1 species
CCCUUAGAUGUUCUGUGCCGCACGCGUGCUACACUGAGUGGAUCAGCGGGUCAGGUUGCGCGAAAGCGUUUCCUAAUCUUUAAAUCCGCUCGUGAUGGGGAUUGACGGUUGCAAUUUUCUGUCAUGAACGAGGAAUACCUUGUAAGCGCGGGUCAUCAUCCCGCGCUGAAUACGUCCCUGCCCUUUGUACACACCGCCCGUCGCUCCUACCGAUUGAGUGGUCCGGUGAGGCUUUGGGAUCUGAGCGGAAAGAGCGUUUCGCUGUUUCUGCUCGGAAAACUCAGUCGAACCUUAUCAUUUAGAGGAAGGAGAAGUCGUAACA